rnacentral:rRNA from 1 species
UACGGAGGAUCCGAGCGUUAUCCGGAUUUAUUGGGUUUAAAGGGUGCGUAGGCGGGCUGAUAAGUCAGUGGUGAAAGUUUGCAGCUUAACUGUAAAAUUGCCAUUGAAACUGUUAGUCUUGAGUACAGUAGAGGUAGGCGGAAUGUGUAGUGUAGCGGUGAAAUGCAUAGAUAUUACACAGAACACCAAUUGCGUAGGCAGCUUACUGGAGUGUCACUGACGCUGAGGCACGAUAGCGUGGGGAUCAAACAGGAUUAGAUACCCUGGUAGUCCACGCCGUAAACGAUGAUUACUAACUGUUUGCGAUAUAAUGUAAGUGGUACAGAGAAAUCGUUAAGUAAUCCACCUGGGGAGUACGCCGGCAACGGUGAAACUCAAAGGAAUUGACGGGGGCCCGCACAAGCGGAGGAACAUGUGGUUUAAUUCGAUGAUACGCGAGGAACCUUACCCGGGCUUGAAAUGCAGAGGAAUAUAGUGGAAACAUUAUCGCCAGCAAUGGUCUCUGUGUAGGUGCUGCAUGGUU